AGGGAUGUAGCUCGGUGGUAGAGUGCUUGCCUAGCAUGCAUAGGGCCCUGGCUUUAAUCCCCAGCAUCACAA
rnacentral:tRNA from 1 species